rnacentral:misc_RNA from 1 species
UAAAUUGCGAUACGUAGCGUGAGGUGCAAAGCUCGAGCGCUGAAUCUUUGAAUGCACAUUGCGCCAUUCGACUCCGUCGUCUGGCACGUCUGGCUCAGGGUUGACAUAUCAAACAACUGUCUUGUUGUUUUUGGUUGGUUCGUUCAAUUGGUCUAUGGCUCUAAAGACAUCAAACAAUUGUUCGGACAUGUGGUCAUGUUGGUGCAUCAAUCUAACGUAGAAUCUGUCUGUUUCGACAUUGAUUUCUCGUGCUCUUUGCCUCUUAAAGCGGAUGUGCCUUCUUCAAUCAACCUGAGCUUAGUCGUGAGUACCCGCUGAACUUAA